AGGGUAGAGAUUUGCUCUAUAGCUGCCUGGUUAAUGCCUCAUCUCUACUUUACUAGACAGGGAAAAGGAGUUUAUUCAUGUGGUGAGAAGGGAGUUUUGAUUCUCUUCUCUGAGUAACAUCAAGAGGCUUGAAGUGUGGUAUGGACAAGAAAGUAACUUUACCAGAAUGAAGUCAAAUAGCUAAGCAUUCUAACGCACUAGAGUCUACCUUAAAGACUUUAUAAUUGGAAGUCAAAUACCUAUCUCCAGAAGAUCCUUCUGCAUUAAAGAGCCUCCUAAGAGUUUACAGUAUGUGCUUGGACAAGAUAUCAAAUGAAAUGGCUUUGGAAACUUUAUACUAAGGCCCAAUAAGUGUUACCUCAAAAACCUCAUCUGUUCUUAACACUGAUCUGAGAGUGAUGCUACCCAGAUGCCAAAGCUCUUCUUUCUAUGGGUGCUCCUGAUGCAGGCCCAGAAUAGAAAAGCAGCCCUGAGAAUGGUGGUAUGGGGUUUCUUUUGUUUUCAGUGCUCACUACUGUAGUUUCUUUCACAUCAAAUGUAAAUACAUGAUCUGCUCCUUAAGAUGUGUGAGCAACAAAGUCACCUUUCAUGUGCUUACAGAACUAACUUGUGAUAAAUCCUGCUAUACUAGUAUGCAGAAAAAGACAAAAUCAAUAUUGCCAGGUGGACCUUAAUAAAUCAUGGUAUGUUCUGCUUACUGGUCUGUAUCUGGGAACCUGGCAUAACUUGUACUUCUAUACAAACUUUGGCUAUCUAGAUGUAAGCAAAGCAUUGGUUUAUCUUUAAUGGAGCGUCUGCACUCUAAUUUGAAGCUGCCUUAAUUUCCCAGAUUAAAGAUGGGGAAAUAGAAGAGGUUUAUACUGCAUAAAUUGUGGAAGUCAAAGGCAG